rnacentral:rRNA from 1 species
CAGUCGCCGCGGUAAUACGAAGGGGGCUGGCGUUGUUCGGAAUUACUGGGCGUAAAGCGCACGUAGGCGGAUAUUUAAGUCAGGGGUGAAAUCCCGCAGCUCAACUGCGGAACAGCCUUUGAUACUGGGUAUCUUGAGUAUGGAAGAGGUAAGUGGAAUUGCGAGUGUAGAGGUGAAAUUCGUAGAUAUUCGCAGGAACACCAGUGGCGAAGGCGGCUUACUGGUCCAUUACUGACGCUGAGGUGCGAAAGCGUGGGGAGCAAACAGGAUUAGAUACCCCCGUAGUCCCUGUCUCUUAUAC